CACUUCCAGCAGAGCCAGGAUCAGAUCCAAGUCUCCUCCGGUAAAGCCUUGAGCUCGUGGAAGAGGACGGAUGUGUGACACUGUGGAGAUUGAAGCUACAGAUGUUUUUGAUGCUGCUAUCCAUGAUUUUAUUUGAGAUUUUUAGGUGUAUGUAACUGUGAAGUUGUAAUUUUGCUACACAGUAAUUUGACAGAUUUUGAACUUAAUUUUUAUAGUCGGUUGUAAUUUGAUGUAUUUUUAUUGAAUGUAAAUGAUGUUUUCGGAGAUUGAAUAAAGACUUUUAUUUGAUACAC